AUGAUGUCAGAGUUUGAGAUGUACGCUUGUCCACAGCAGAUGCUUUUCAUUUGUAUUGUUUCAUGUAGAGUUCAGCCCUUCACAUUAUCACAGGGCCCAGCUGGGUGGAUGAGGGACAGCGUGGGUGACCUAGCUGCAAAGCAGAUCCCUGUGCUGCCAGGGGUGGCCAGAAGACCACAAAGACACUGUCACUUUGGCACACGGUGGCAUCAGGCAAUUCCAGUCAUAGCAUGAGAACAAUAGACUUUCAGGAUAUUAAAAUCAUAUGCUGAUUACAAGACAGAGCUUUGAAGCAUCAAGUGUGAUCAUGGCUGAGAACUGAGAGACAAGUGGCCAUGACACUGCAGCAUACAGGACUCAUCUUUGGAAAUCUUUCAUCUAUUGCAAGUCUUCACAUUGUCAAGACCUGGAAAACAUGACUUUUGGUGAUCAAUGUUUUGUCCUCAGUGUUUAAAGGUCUAAUGUUGGAGCCCCAUGGUUUUUGUGGUAGCUUUUGUUCUUUUGUAUUACGUUUGUUUCUAAAAUUGCUUUGGGGAUAUAACAACUCUUCUGUUUGCUUUUUGUUGUUGUUGUUGUUGUUUGGGUUUUUUUUUCUUUGUUCCUUCUGAUUUUGUUUCCAUUAAUAGUUUUUUCUGUUGUUGUUGUUUUGUUUUUUUUUUUCCAGAACGGAUCUUGCCAGUGUCAUGUGUGAUACAUACAUACUUGGUUCCAAAACAGCUAGAAACAAAUUUGGGAGGUAUUGAGAUAGAUGAGUAGAUUGUUUCCUUUCCUAUAUAAUUAUGGAAGGAAAAUGGUUGUAUUUAUACCUGUUGAUUCCCACCCCUACCCCUCAAAACUGAAUUUUAUCCAUUGCCUUGUGAGAGCAGUGGCUCAGUCACUUUCAGAGAUUUAGUAGAGAGUGUUAACUCUUCCCCUCCUUUCAUUGCACUUGGAUUUUGUAAUCACCAGUUUUACUGUACAAACCUCCACACUUCUCUCCCCUUUUACUGCCCUUCCUCCUCUCCCACCCCCCUUCUUUUUUAAUUUGGAGCUGUGAAUGGGCAGAUCUGUUUCUGGCCUGGCAUCACUGAGUUUUUCCCAUGCAUUUGCCCUCGAGCUUCUCAGAUGUGAGACAAAUCUCCCUACAAUAGGCUUGCUGCCAUUGUCUGUACAGUUUAAUAGAUGCUGGCAUGUUGGAGGUUACCCAUGAGUCUGCAAAAUCCACUUUCCAUGCUUACUCUUGACACCCCCAUUGAAGCCACUCAUUGUGUAUGCAUCUGGGUAUGAAAGUCCAGCUCAGUGUGGUCCUGUGCUUGUACUGCCCUGCUUUGCAGUUUCUUUGCACUUAUUCACUGAGUGCUGUUUUUGAAAUGCUUACGUUAUAUGAACCUAAAAGAAAGUGUAAAAAAAAACCCUGCCCCAUAAGAUCUGUAUUUGUAUAUACACGUGUCCGUACAAUUAUACUUAAAUAAAAUUAAAGAUUUUCUUCA
rnacentral:lncRNA from 1 species